AUUAAGAGCAAACUCUCUAUGGAGACUUUACAUUUGGAUGAAGGAGAUUCUAUAGAGUCACCCAAUUAAGGUCAAGUGCAAUACUUGCACUUAAAUGAACUUUUCAUUCUGCUGCAAAUUACAAUACGUACAGAUUUUCCUUCAAUUGAGACUGCAGAGGAGACACAAUCCAGGCUCCAGAGGCAGCAAGGCAGAAAGCACAAAGGUGAACAAGGAAGAAAUGUGGAGUGAAGUAGGGCUAUAAAUCAGCUCUCAUCCAAGAAUCUGAAACCGUUUUACAAACAAGUCCCAAUGAAGCAUCACAAUACUGCAGCAAUACAUUUUACAGGAAUAUGGAUUUUACAGUACUGGCUUUCUCAAGCUUUGCUCCUGAUUUGAGAUCAGCCAAAGUUCCUGUUCUGAGAUGCACUGGAAAAAGAUAGUAAAAAUAUCUGAAGGAACCAAAUCUUGAAGAGACAAAGCUACCAGCUUCCAUUAUUUACCUAGUGGCUUGCAUGGUAUUACGGUCCUCACUGCAGAAUCAUCAAGUCAAUCAGCUGGAGACACAUACUGGUUGUUGGGAUGGCAGGGAAGAGUGAAGCUUGUGGAGCAGCAGUGCUGUGAGUAUAAGAGGUACCCUUGGAUCAUUGUUGGUACUGUCAAAGAUGAAGAGUCGGGUUUACCAUCCUGCUCAAAGAGUUUCUAUUUCUUGGGGUGUUUCGGGGGGAGAGAGAGUUUGUCAAGGUGGAUCCAAGAUACCUGGUUUGUGCAGCCCCAUCACAAAGUUUUCCCUGCUUGAAAGACAUUGCUUAUGAAGAGCUCAGUGCUCCUGGUUGGAGAAGUGAACAGAAGGCAGAGGUGGAAAUGAAGUUAAAGCAGACAUAAUCCCUUGUGAAACGCCAAGGAGAACCACGGUUACGAUGUUUGCUGUGUGUAUGUAUUGCAAUUAAGAUCAUGCUGAAAUACCUAUAUGAAAAGAACACGGAUGCCUUCAACCUU